rnacentral:rRNA from 1 species
ACAUACGACCAUAGACUCGAGAGAACUGGGCAUGCCAUACAUAAACUCCAGAUCGGUAGAUUAGUAGUUGGGUGGGUGACCACCAGCGAAUACCUACUGUUGUAUGUA